CUCUAUAUGUAUUAUUGCAUGUACUAUGAUCAUCACUUGACUUGUUAUGUAUGGUCAUCACUGGACCUAUAUAUGUAUGCCUCUAUGUACCAUGAUCUGCACUUGACCUGGUAUGUAUGAUCACCAUUGGACCUAUAUAUAUAUAUAUAUAUAUAUAUAUAUAUAUAUAUAUAUAUAUAUAUAUAUAUGGUUCUUUGUGCUAUGACCAUCCAGUUGGUGUAUGUAUGGAGAUCUGGUAUUUUAAUUCUGAUUAUGUGAAUUUGCUCGAUUAAUGUGAUGUGUAUUUAUUAAAAUUUUCAAAUUGUAUCUACACCCAACUAUCUGCAAUAUAGCUUUGCCGACACUUCUACUGUUGGACAAGGCAUGGUUUAUGAAACAUCCUAGAAACGGUUUCGUUAACAUACAAACUAUCGGAAAAGAUCCAAACUGUCGGCGUAGGUCUAAAUUGUCGGCAAAGGGUUGACUGUCAGUAAAAGUUAAACUGUCGGUGUAGGUACGAGAUUUGGCUACACAAUAAGUGUCGGCGAUGCCAUUAACUGUCGGCAAAACUUUUGCCGACUGCUUCUACCGCGACUGUUUGUAAAUUGUCGGCAAAACCUUUUGUGAGACGUUAAGUGUCAGCAAAGGUACCCUUUGACGACAGUUCGAAGUGUCGGCAAAGCCAUGUUGUGUUAUAGUGUGUCGACAAUUCCCCUAAGCUUACCUUUUGCCACUCCCUUGGCAAACCAAGCCUAAGCAGUAUAUGUAUUUGGAUCAAGAGUUGCUACAAUGUUUUCAUUCUUUCCAAGUACACAUGCUCCCAAACACAGAUUCUCCUCCAGAUUAGUUACUAACUACUCUAAUCUUCAUACUUACUUGUUUUACCUUUAACCAUGGGGCUUUACAACUUUUGCAUGAGUCUUGAGCAAUCAGACAGAACAAUCAGGUCAAGCACUAUAUCUCACAUUCUUUGCAAAACCAUUAUUCCAGAGUUUUUAUAAGUUUUCAGAAUAAAACUUGGAGCUUAAUUGUAUGAUACCCUCAAAUCUCUCAAUGUAUGUGGUAUUUAUGGUUCUCUCUUGAGGCAUUAAUGAUGUUAUGCCUCCUAUAGCUAAAGGUAUAUAUGGUAGAGCUUAUAGGAGUGCCAAUAACAAGGAUAGGCAUACUUGCAAUGCAUGUAUUGUAAAGUUAACUAAUGGAUCCAUAGAGAAUCGAGGCAUACAAUCAAACCAAGAUGUGCAUGUGUAUGGAAUAUGGUGGAUAGGUGCAUUUGUGGUAUUUGUGGCUAACUUCUAUUUCUUUGGGAACAUGUCUCUAUUGAAACUUUUCACGAAAGACAUGGGCUAUCUUUAUUAUUUAUUUUUUUUUUUAUUCAAGGAGGUGGGCAUCUAGUACCCAUUGUUUUAAUUGCUGGGACACUUGUCCAUCUUUUACUCCCUUUUCUUCUUUUAUAUUUAUUUGCAUAGCCACAUGUCUCCUUUGAAUAUAAUAAAUGAUCAGAGAGGUAAUAAUAAGAACUUAGGGCAUUUAUGAUGGGCUUUAUCCUAUGGGUAUGGUUUAGGAGAAAAACAUGAUUGCUAAACAUGGAAUGGAAAUGAUUGCGAUUACUCCUAGUGUAGGAAUAAUGCAUAUGCCAAUUGAAGUGUGUACGUGAUCUUGGUUUUAAAAGCAUGAUAAGACUCUUGUAAGGUAUACUACAAAGGUUAAAUAAACUCAAUGCAAAGCAAGCAGCAUAAAUGUGCAAAAGUUUUCCUAACUCUAGAUGUAUAUUAUAUAUGGCUUUGGUAGGAAUUCAAACUUGUCAUACAAGAGCUCAUCAUGUAGGAUUUUGGGUUUUCAAAAUAAAUCUCUAGAACUUAAUAAUGCUAGGAAUAAGAUAAAUAGCAGCUCAGACUUUCAAUGAUCAUAUCAACCAACUACCUAGACUUAGCUCAAACUUAUGCCUCCACAAGUUGUAGGUUCAAAGUAAACCUUCAAAUUAAAACAAUAAUGUCCAAAACUCGAGAGAAUCUAACAUCGAAAUCUAGGUACUUGUAAAGAACUACAACAGAUCAACUAUUUGUCAUCUCCAGGACAAUUUUAAUGUUCAUCAAUCUUUAAUUAGCUCUAGCCUAGACACACUCUAAUAUAAUUAACACUAAUACUUCUUUUUAUUGUUUUUUAGAUUUUAUUUAACCAUAGACUCAUAAAAGACUCAAUAGGCAUGGGGCAACAGGCAUGGACCUUCAUGAGCCCACAUAUUUUUGGUAUUUAUGAAUAUAUAUAUAAUAAGUAAAUCUAUUAAUCGCCUAGGUGUAGUCACCUAAUAACUAGGGGAUACUCCUCCCCCAAGCUGGAUGGUUGCAAUACAUGGUGUAGAUGUCCUUUAGAGUGAGCUAACUAGUAGCAGCCUAGUGGGUGCCACUAAUAGACUCUCUCCUUGCUAUGAUGUUAUUCCUGCAUAAAUACUCUCCACAAGGAGAAACCAAAACUCGAGAAUCGAAUUUGUUAAUGGGUUAGGAGUCAGCCAAAAAGUAAUUGAUCACCUUUAUGAGCUAGCUUUAAUGUUGUCUAAUUUAAACAUGAUUUCAAUUUUCUCUUAUUUUUGAAUUUUAUAUUUAUGAUGUAGGAAUUUAAAUAUGAAUGAUAUAUUUUUGUCAUUUUUAUUUUAUGCCACCACAGUGGAUGUUCCUUCAGAAAAUACCAUAGGGUAUCCACAUGGGGCUUGUGAUGCCAUGAGUAAUGCAGUAAAUAUUUUUUGUUAUUUUUUAUCUUUUAGUGUGUAAAAAAAUUAUGCUUCUAAAUAAAUUACAAAUGCAUUUAAUGAGAUAACUACAAUUUUAACCUUUUGGCUAGGGUUCGGAAUUUAAAGUCUACCGAUAGGACUUAGAUAGAGGAGAACACUUACUUAGUGGGUUCAUCGUCUGAGGUAACCUCAGUCAACUCCCCAUUCUGUGGUGAUGCCGCAAGUGCCUUCUUCCAUCUCGUUUUUGUUUCUUUUGCUUCUCUCUUUUCUGGUUCCAUCUCUUCAGUUUUAUUCUCUUUCUCCCAUGCUUCUAAUCGUGCUGAUAACUAGCGGAUGCUCUCCCCCAAGCUAGAUGUUUGCUUAUGGUUGAUUGUUGAAGCUGAGUGGUCCUCAUGGAGGAGCUCAUGCUUAUAAGAGCGAGUGUUGCCUGAAAUACAUCAAUCUCAUCACCUAAGAAGUUACUUCAUUAAUACAGGGGUCAGCUGUAUGUCAGAAAGGUGUACUUCAAGUGAUGAAGAUGAAGAUUCCUAGGUAAGCUGGCCCUUGGAGUCAUCCUGUAGAAAGCUCUGACAAAACACCAAAACUCAUGCAAUGAUAUUAGGAUAAAACGUUAAUGAUUACUGUUUUUUGAGGAUUGGGUGUUGUGGUGGUUUCAAAGUAUUUUUAAGACAGCAGUAUUGCAGCAAGAUGCUCAGUUAAUAUUUUUGGAUUUUAUGGGUUUAUAUGCAUAAAGUGCAAAUGCAUGAUAUAUAUUUUUAUUCUAUAGGCCACCACAGUGAGAACUAAUGGAUUAUGAGGAUGCUACUGUUGAUGUAAAAGCUGAUCUGCAAACACAAAGGGCUAAUACCCGAUUCAAACGUUAAGGCGUGCCAGCCGAUUUGACCAUACUAUCGGCAAAGGAGAUAACUCGAAUACUUUGGUCCCGACAACAGCGAUGCGCC
rnacentral:lncRNA from 1 species